rnacentral:rRNA from 1 species
AUUGAACGCUGGCGGCAGGCCUAACACAUGCAAGUCGAGCGGAUGAAGGGAGCUUGCUCCUGGAUUCAGCGGCGGACGGGUGAGUAAUGCCUAGGAAUCUGCCUGGUAGUGGGGGAUAACGUCCGGAAACGGGCGCUAAUACCGCAUACGUCCUGAGGGAGAAAGUGGGGGAUCUUCGGACCUCACGCUAUCAGAUGAGCCUAGGUCGGAUUAGCUAGUUGGUGGGGUAAAGGCCUACCAAGGCGACGAUCCGUAACUGGUCUGAGAGGAUGAUCAGUCACACUGGAAUUGAGACACGGUCCAGACUCCUACGGGAGGCAGCAGUGGGGAAUAUUGGACAAUGGGCGAAAGCCUGAUCCAGCCAUGCCGCGUGUGUGAAGAAGGUCUUCGGAUUGUAAGGCACUUUAAGUUGGGAGGAAGGGCAGUAAGUUAAUACCUUGCUGUUUUGACGUUACCAACAGAAUAAGCACCGGCUAACUUCGUG